UUAAGCGACUAAGCGUACACGGUGGAUGCCCUGGCAGUCAGAGGCGAUGAAGGACGUGCUAAUCUGCGAUAAGCGUCGGUAAGGUGAUAUGAACCGUUAUAACCGGCGAUUUCCGAAUGGGGAAACCCAGUGUGUUUCGACACACUAUCAUUAACUGAAUCCAUAGGUUAAUGAGGCGAACCGGGGGAACUGAAACAUCUAAGUACCCCGAGGAAAAGAAAUCAACCGAGAUUCCCCCAGUAGCGGCGAGCGAACGGGGAGCAGCCCAGAGCCUGAAUCAGUGUGUGUGUUAGUGGAAGCGUCUGGAAAGGCGCGCGAUACAGGGUGACAGCCCCGUACACAAAAAUGCACAUGCUGUGAGCUCGAUGAGUAGGGCGGGACACGUGGUAUCCUGUCUGAAUAUGGGGGGACCAUCCUCCAAGGCUAAAUACUCCUGACUGACCGAUAGUGAACCAGUACCGUGAGGGAAAGGCGAAAAGAACCCCGGCGAGGGGAGUGAAAAAGAACCUGAAACCGUGUACGUACAAGCAGUGGGAGCACGCUUAGGCGUGUGACUGCGUACCUUUUGUAUAAUGGGUCAGCGACUUAUAUUCUGUAGCAAGGUUAACCGAAUAGGGGAGCCGAAGGGAAACCGAGUCUUAACUGGGCGUUAAGUUGCAGGGUAUAGACCCGAAACCCGGUGAUCUAGCCAUGGGCAGGUUGAAGGUUGGGUAACACUAACUGGAGGACCGAACCGACUAAUGUUGAAAAAUUAGCGGAUGACUUGUGGCUGGGGGUGAAAGGCCAAUCAAACCGGGAGAUAGCUGGUUCUCCCCGAAAGCUAUUUAGGUAGCGCCUCGUGAAUUCAUCUCCGGGGGUAGAGCACUGUUUCGGCAAGGGGGUCAUCCCGACUUACCAACCCGAUGCAAACUGCGAAUACCGGAGAAUGUUAUCACGGGAGACACACGGCGGGUGCUAACGUCCGUCGUGAAGAGGGAAACAACCCAGACCGCCAGCUAAGGUCCCAAAGUCAUGGUUAAGUGGGAAACGAUGUGGGAAGGCCCAGACAGCCAGGAUGUUGGCUUAGAAGCAGCCAUCAUUUAAAGAAAGCGUAAUAGCUCACUGGUCGAGUCGGCCUGCGCGGAAGAUGUAACGGGGCUAAACCAUGCACCGAAGCUGCGGCAGCGACGCUUAUGCGUUGUUGGGUAGGGGAGCGUUCUGUAAGCCUGCGAAGGUGUGCUGUGAGGCAUGCUGGAGGUAUCAGAAGUGCGAAUGCUGACAUAAGUAACGAUAAAGCGGGUGAAAAGCCCGCUCGCCGGAAGACCAAGGGUUCCUGUCCAACGUUAAUCGGGGCAGGGUGAGUCGACCCCUAAGGCGAGGCCGAAAGGCGUAGUCGAUGGGAAACAGGUUAAUAUUCCUGUACUUGGUGUUACUGCGAAGGGGGGACGGAGAAGGCUAUGUUGGCCGGGCGACGGUUGUCCCGGUUUAAGCGUGUAGGCUGGUUUUCCAGGCAAAUCCGGAAAAUCAAGGCUGAGGCGUGAUGACGAGGCACUACGGUGCUGAAGCAACAAAUGCCCUGCUUCCAGGAAAAGCCUCUAAGCAUCAGGUAACAUCAAAUCGUACCCCAAACCGACACAGGUGGUCAGGUAGAGAAUACCAAGGCGCUUGAGAGAACUCGGGUGAAGGAACUAGGCAAAAUGGUGCCGUAACUUCGGGAGAAGGCACGCUGAUAUGUAGGUGAAGUCCCUUGCGGAUGGAGCUGAAAUCAGUCGAAGAUACCAGCUGGCUGCAACUGUUUAUUAAAAACACAGCACUGUGCAAACACGAAAGUGGACGUAUACGGUGUGACGCCUGCCCGGUGCCGGAAGGUUAAUUGAUGGGGUUAGCGCAAGCGAAGCUCUUGAUCGAAGCCCCGGUAAACGGCGGCCGUAACUAUAACGGUCCUAAGGUAGCGAAAUUCCUUGUCGGGUAAGUUCCGACCUGCACGAAUGGCGUAAUGAUGGCCAGGCUGUCUCCACCCGAGACUCAGUGAAAUUGAACUCGCUGUGAAGAUGCAGUGUACCCGCGGCAAGACGGAAAGACCCCGUGAACCUUUACUAUAGCUUGACACUGAACAUUGAGCCUUGAUGUGUAGGAUAGGUGGGAGGCUUUGAAGCGUGGACGCCAGUCUGCGUGGAGCCAACCUUGAAAUACCACCCUUUAAUGUUUGAUGUUCUAACGUUGGCCCCUUACCGGGGUUGCGGACAGUGUCUGGUGGGUAGUUUGACUGGGGCGGUCUCCUCCCAAAGCGUAACGGAGGAGCACGAAGGUUAGCUAAUCCUGGUCGGACAUCAGGAGGUUAGUGCAAUGGCAUAAGCUAGCUUGACUGCGAGCGUGACGGCGCGAGCAGGUGCGAAAGCAGGUCAUAGUGAUCCGGUGGUUCUGAAUGGAAGGGCCAUCGCUCAA
rnacentral:rRNA from 1 species